UCCAAACCCAACAGAAAACAGAAACAAAAAAAGCGUGGUAUCAAAUCCCUCCUUUGCUCUUUCACUCUCCCUCCCCCUCAUGCUUCCCCAUUUGUGAACCUCCCUGGUUGCUUUCUUCCAUGGAAACCAUUCUCUCUCCUCGCUCUCUCUCCCCUCUCUUCAAUCCCAAACCUUCCUGUCCAAAGACCCUUUCCUCCUCCUCUAUCCAACCCAGAUCAUCAAAUUCUCUUUUUCUUACCAAAUCCAUUACUUGUAGUCUCAAAAAACACCAACCCCAAUCACUAAGUUCAUCUUUACCAACACCCACAAGCUGGCUUUCACAUGCCCAAAAAGGACUGGCAGCUCUAGCUAUCACUCUAGCACUCAAUUUUAGCCCACUCUUGCCUAGUGGCAAUGCAUUAGCAUCUGAAUUUGAUGUGAUUAAUGAGGGGCCACCUAAAGAAACAUAUGUUGUUGACGAUGCAGGCGUGCUUAGUCGGGUGACAAAAUCGGAUUUGAAGAGGUUGUUGACGGAUUUGGAGUCAAGGAAGAACUUCCGCAUUAAUUUCGUCAUUGUUCGAAAACUAACCAGCAAAGCUGAUGCCUUUGAGUAUGCUGACCAAGUUUUGGAGCGUUGGUAUCCCACAGUAGAAGAGGGCAGUAAUAAGGGCAUUGUCGUGCUUGUUACCAGUCAAAAGGAAGGGGCAGUCACAGGGGGCCCUGCAUUUGUCCAGGCUGUUGGAGAAAAUAUUCUUGAUGCCACUGUUACAGAAAAUCUUCCUGUCUUGGCUACAGAAGAAAAGUACAAUGAAGCUGUUUAUAGCAGUGCCAAGCGACUAGUUGCUGCCAUUGAUGGGCUCCCAGAUCCUGGUGGACCCUCGGUUAAAGACAAUAAACGUGAAUCCAACUUCAAAUCCAGGGAAGAGACAGAAGAGAAGCGGGGGCAAUUCUCUCUUGUAGUUGGAGGUUUAUUAGUGAUUGCCUUUGUUGUUCCUAUGGCACAAUACUAUGCUUAUGUCUCCAGGAAGUAACAAUAGAUUUGUCUUCAAAUUAUUUCCCUUAAAUUUCACAAAUCAUGUAUAACAUGCUGUUGUACAAAUCAUCAUGUUAGAAUGGUUGAUCAGAAACUCACAAUCGGUGAGUUUUGGUUAAUAUGUUAAUGAUGUGUUGGACUUGUCUCUUAGUCCAACUUCAGGGGACAAUAUAGUUGAAAAGGGUUCAAGAGAGAGAGUAUAGUUUUGGCCAUAAUGAAUCAUGAAGACUUAAUCAAUGAAAGCAAUUACUCAUAUAUUAAAAUCAUGAA